rnacentral:rRNA from 1 species
UUGACCUCGGAUCAGGCAGGGAUACCCGCUGAACUUAAGCAUAUCAAUAAGCGGAGGAAAAGAAACCAACAGGGAUUGCCUCAGUAACGGCGAGUGAAGCGGCAACAGCUCAAAUUUGAAAUCUGGCUCUUUUAGGGUCCGAGUUGUAAUUUGUAGAGGAUGCUUCGGCGUCGGCUCCGGUCUAAGUUCCUUGGAACAGGACGUCAUAGAGGGUGAGAAUCCCGUAUGUGAUCGGUUGCCCUUGCCAUGUGAAGCUCCUUCGACGAGUCGAGUUGUUUGGGAAUGCAGCUCUAAAUGGGAGGUAAAUUUCUUCUAAAGCUAAAUACUGGCCAGAGACCGAUAGCGCACAAGUAGAGCGAUCGAAAGAUGAAANGCACUUUGGAAAGAGAGUC